AUUGAACGCUGGCGGCAGGCUUAACACAUGCAAGUAGAACGAGUGGCGGACGGGUGAGUAAUGCUUGGGAAUCACGCUUAUGGCGGGGGAUAACUAAGGGAAACUGUAGCUAAUACCGCGUACCAUAGGAUGAGCCCAAGUGGGAGUAGGUAGUUGGUGAGGUAAAGGCUCAAAAAGGCGAAGAUCGCUAGCUGGUCUGAGAGGAUGACCAGCCACACUGGAACUGAGAUACGUCCCAGACUCCUACGUGAGGCAGCAGUGGGGAAUACUGCGCAAUGGGGGCAGCCUCACACAGCCAGGCCGCUUGAAUGAAGAAGGCCUUCGGGUUUUAAAGUUCUUUCGGUAGCGAGGCGUUAACUACAGAAUAAGCACCGGCUAACUCCGUGCCAGCAGCCGCGGUAAUUC
rnacentral:rRNA from 1 species